UUCAUCGGCGUAGGGUGAGUCGGCCCCUAAGGCGAGGCAGAGAUGCGUAGCUGAUGGGAAACAGGUCAAUAUUCCUGUACCGAUGUGUAGUGCGAUGUGGGGACGGAGAAGGUUAACUCAGCCGGGUGUUGGAUGUCCCGGUUCAAGCAUGUAGGCGUACCCCCUAGGCAAAUCCGGGGGGAUUAGCUGAGGUGUGAUAACGAGGCGGCUUGCCGCUGAAGUGAGUGAUACCCUGCUUCCAGGAAAAGCCACUAAGCUCCAGCUGCACACGACCGUACCGCAAACCGACACUGGUGCGCGAGAUGAGUAUUCUAAGGCGCUUGAGAGAACUCUGGAGAAGGAACUCGGCAAAUUGACACCGUAACUUCGGAAGAAGGUGUGCCUUUAGUAGGUGAUCCAUUUACUUGGUGAGCCCAAUGAGGCCGCAGAGAAUCGGUGGCUGCAACUGUUUAUUAAAAACACAGCACUCUGCAAAGACGAAAGUCGACGUAUAGGGUGUGACGCCUGCCCGGUGCUGGAAGAUUAAAUGAUGGGGUGCAAGCUCUUGACUGAAGUCCCAGUAAACGGCGGCCGUAACAAUAACGGUCCUAAGGUAGCGAAAUUCCUUGUCGGGUAAGUUCCGACCUGCACGAAUGGCGUAAUGAUGGCCACACUGUCUCCUCCAGAGACUCAGCGAAGUUGAAAUAUUUGUGAUGAUGCAAUCUCCCCGCGGAAAGACGGAAAGACCCCAUGAACCUUUACUGUAGCUUUACAUUGGACUUUGAACAGAUCUGUGUAGGAUAGGUGGGAGGCUUUGAAGCGGUGCCGCUAGGUGUCGUGGAGCCAACGUUGAAAUACCACCCUGGUGUGUUUGAGGUUCUAACCUUGGCCCGUAAUCCGGGUUGGGGACAGUGUAUGGUGGGCAGUUUGACUGGGGCGGUCUCCUCCCAAAGCGUAACGGAGGAGUUCGAAGGUACGCUAGGCACGGUCGGAAAUCGUGCUAAUAGUGCAUUGGCAUAAGCGUGCUUGACUGCGAGACUGACAAGUCGAGCAGGUACGAAAGUAGGACAAAGUGAUCCGGUGGUUCUGUAUGGAAGGGCCAUCGCUCAACGGAUAAAAGGUACUCUGGGGAUAACAGGCUGAUACCGCCCAAGAGUUCAUAUCGACGGCGGUGUUUGGCACCUCGAUGUCGGCUCAUCUCAUCCUGGGGCUGUAGCCGGUCCCAAGGGUAUGACUGUUCGCCAUUUAAAGAGGUUCGUGAGCUGGGUUUAAAACGUCGUGAGACAGUUUGGUCCCUAUCUUCCGUGGGCGCUGCAAGAUUGAGAGAGCCUGCUCCUAGUACGAGAGGACCGGAGUGGACGCACCUCUGGUGUAUCGGUUGUCACGCCAGUGGCAUUGCCGAGUAGCUAUGUGCGGAAGAGAUAACCGCUGAAAGCAUCUAAGCGGGAAACUCGUCUCAAGAUGAGUCUUGCCGGGGCCUUGAGCCCCCUGAAGAGUCGUUCGAGACCAGGACGUUGAUAGGUCGGGUGUGGAAGCGUAGUAAUACGUUAAGCUAACCGAUACUAAUUGCUCGUGAGGCUUGACCCU
rnacentral:rRNA from 1 species